rnacentral:lncRNA from 1 species
CUGAAUCUCAGAAUUCCUGGGACCACUUCUGGGAUCAGUCAAGAACCAAUCAGAGCAGGGAAUGCAUCUGAGACAAAACAAAUUUCUGGUGUAGUCAUGGAGUAUAGCGUGUGUACUUGACAACUUACUAGCUGUAUGAUCUUUGGAAUGUUGGGUGAUCUGUCCAGGAGUGUUUUCAUUUGUCAAGUGGAGGUGAUAUUAUUUCUCUGCCCUACCACACUCAGCCAAGUGGCCGUGAAUCAUAUAUCUCUCCUCCCACUGCUUGCAGCUGCAGUUCUUUGGAACUUGGAGGACACCAGACAAGCAGCUUAUAAAUGACAGGCAGUGAAGGGCUCUGCUCAGAUAGAAUAACUGCUUGAAUCCAGUCUUUCAUCUGAAAAUUAAAAUGGACAACUCCCAGAAGCUCCUGGGGUUUGGGAAAUUUUGGGGACCAUGGAUAAGCUGAUGAGGCAGAGAUGAGUCAUUCAUAAGAAGAGAAGAAUGGAGAAGAGAAGAGCAAACUGGGAGAGGCAGAGACUGGGGACACUGAGGGAGCCUCCCCUGGGUGUCAGCAUCCACCCCCCAAGAUGCAGAAGGUUCUGCCCUAUUUCCUCAUUUGGGUUCCCUCAGAGCAAAACCAACAAAACAAAACUCUCCCUUUCACUUGAACUGUCUGCAUGGUCUGUCUUCCUUGAAAUCAAAAGAUUCUGGCCUGGGGAAAAAAGAACAUCUCUAAUACACUGCAGACCACAAAGGCGAAAAAUAUUGAGGAUCUCAAAUAUUCACACCCAAGAAUCUACUUCAUCAGACGGUUAAGAGAGUCAGAGGGACAUUCAGAGGACUUUGAAGAGUCCACAGCCUGCCUUCUCUUCCCUGAACGGACAAGCUCAGUCAGCUGUGACCGGGAAUGCUGCUGCUCUAGCGUGCAGCUGCAUUUCUCCUGCAGGCUCAGAGAGAGAACUCGGUCACUUGGCCCAGCCUGGACCAGAGUUGGCUGGUCACCUAGGACAGAACAGCCUUCUGGAUAUGGUUGAUGUUUUCCUCACUAGCUUAGCCCAGGAAGAAGAACAUUCAGAUUUACUGUCCAUCUGAAACCAAGAAAACCGUUGUAUGACCUUAAGUUCCUUGAAAUAUUUGCAUUGAAAGAGUUGCAUGGGUCAAAUAAUCACAAAUAAAGGACCCAAUUUCCUUCUGUGCCGGAGAAGA